rnacentral:rRNA from 1 species
UGGGGAAUAUUGGACAAUGGGGGGAACCCUGAUCCAGCCAUGCCGCGUGUGUGAAGAAGGCCUUAUGGUUGUAAAGCACUUUAAGCGAGGAGGAGGCUCUUUUGGUUAAUACCCAAGAUGAGUGGACGUUACUCGCAGAAUAAGCACCGGCUAACUCUGUGCCAGCAGCCGCGGUAAUACAGAGGGUGCGAGCGUUAAUCGGAUUUACUGGGCGUAAAGCGUGCGUAGGCGGCUUUUUAAGUCGGAUGUGAAAUCCCCGAGCUUAACUUGGGAAUUGCAUUCGAUACUGGUUAGCUAGAGUGUGGGAGAGGAUGGUAGAAUUCCAGGUGUAGCGGUGAAAUGCGUAGAGAUCUGGAGGAAUACCGAUGGCGAAGGCAGCCAUCUGGCCUAACACUGACGCUGAGGUACGAAAGCAUGGGGAGCAAACAGG